rnacentral:rRNA from 1 species
CAGUCGCCGCGGUAAUGCGUAGGGUGCAAGCGUUAUCCGGAUUCACUGGGUUUAAAGGGUGCGUAGGCGGGCAGGUAAGUCAGUGGUGAAACCUUCGAGCUUAACUCGGAAACUGCCGUUGAUACUAUCUGUCUUGAAUAACGUUGAGGUGAGCGGAAUAUGUCAUGUAGCGGUGAAAUGCUUAGAUAUGACAUAGAACACCGAUUGCGAAGGCAGCUCACUAAACGCUCAUUGACGCUGAGGCACGAAAGCGUGGGGAUCAAACAGGAUUAGAUACCCCCGUAGUCCCUGUCUCUUAUAC